CCUACGGGGGGCUGCAGUGGGGAAUAUUGGACAAUGGGGGGAACCCUGAUCCAGCCAUGCCGCGUGUGUGAAGAAGGCCCUCGGGUUGUAAAGCACUUUCAGUGAGGAAGAACGCCUGGUGGUUAAUACCCAUCAGGAAAGACAUCACUCACAGAAGAAGCACCGUCUAACUCCGUGCCAGCAGCCGCGGUAAUACGGAGGGUGCGAGCGUUAAUCGGAAUUACUGGGCGUAAAGCGCGCGUAGGUGGCUUGAUAAGCCGGUUGUGAAAGCCCCGGGCUCAACCUGGGAACGGCAUCCGGAACUGUCAAGCUAGAGUGCAGGAGAGGAAGGUAGAAUUCCCGGUGUAGCGGUGAAAUGCGUAGAGAUCGGGAGGAAUACCAGUGGCGAAGGCGGCCUUCUGGACUGACACUGACACUGAGGUGCGAAAGCGUGGGUAGCAAACAGGAUUAGAUACCCCUGUAGUC
rnacentral:rRNA from 1 species